rnacentral:lncRNA from 1 species
AGAGGCUGACUGGCUGGCUACAUAUCUGUCUCUGGAACAAUAGGUACCUAUAUUCUGCACGGGCUUCUGGGCAGGCAGCACUAACACUCAGGAGAAGGUCUGCCUCUGUCUGCGCCUUCCUGGUUCAAUGCAGGCAGAUGAGUGUCACAGAUGUAACUGAGGCACUGAAUAAUCAACAUAUCGGAGCCAAUUCCCAGGACGGCAAGAGGGGGAACCGGCAGAGAUGACUGACCCUGGAGGACAAGAGCAUUCUUCUGACAAGUUUUAGCAUGGACUAUCCUCAGGAAAAUGAGAUCCAGGAAGAGUGACGCCCUCCUCGAACUGAAAGAUACUCAGGUUGAUGGAGUCAGGGACGAAGUGGCUUAUCAACAACACAGGAUGUCUGCAGGGAACAGAACUUAUUCAGACAUGGCCCAGAUUGUCUGCCCGUGGGGACUGAGGGACCUCUGAGGGUUACAUCAGGAAGGAAGGAGAGGCUGUUUCUACAGGUGCCACAGAAAAAUCGAUGCUGAGCCUCGGAUUAUUGGAUCCCAUAGAACCGUGGAGACUUGGCAGUGAAAUUCUUCCAAAGCAUUCCAUCUGCGCAGGCAGGCAGAGGUUUUCCUGGUUUGGGAAGUAUAAAUCCCGUGGGAAGUCAACUGGAGGACAUUUUACGCGUCACUCAUCCUAUUAUGAGCCUGCUGCUCCUCCGUCUCUUGACAAGGCCACCAACUAGAAGGGCACAGAAUUGUUCAUAAAACAGCUGAAUGUGAAUGUCUUUGGAUUCCCAUUUAAUGAGUUGGCAGCUAAAGGACAGGAGCAGCAAUAAGGCUUCCUGGCUACAUUUUCAUGGUGCCACCAACUGCGAGUUAAGCUGACAAACAUUUUGAGAGCUCGGCCCAUUUCAUUCCCAGCAGGAUGGCAGGAGUUAACUAAAACAGAAUAAACUAAAAAUUGUGCCUUCAUUGCACAUUUGCACUGAUUAUCAGCACUGAAAAUGGCUAAGUUCUGCUUAUCAAGAGCGGGUGACUGAUUGUCCCUGCCAGCUGGCUAAUAUCAUAAUUAGCAAAGUUGCUACCACAUCUGCAAAGUUUAAUCGAAAAAUUUACCAGUGGUAUGAUGGCAUUGUCACCGCGAUCCUGAGGGAAUCAGAGUCGACUUCUGCUUCAACUGGAAUGGCAAGGCUGUAGAGCUGAGAUGAGAAACUGUAAACUUGCUCAGCCAAAGGAAAUAAUAUGCUCCAGAGAAUCCUCUAAUUCACCGAAAAUGGACUUGGAUAACAUUUGGGUUCUCAUACUACCACAGUCCUCUUGAGAAGGACAGCCAGGCUUGGGUGGCAGUGGUGAGGAAGGUUCCUUUCUGUCAAGGGAGCUGAUGCCUUAAAGAAGCUAUCUCCAGAUAAAGGGAGAUCUAAGGAAGGAAGCCAACGAAAGACACCAUGUACCAGAAAGCCAAGCAGGAUUUUGACAUUUAUAACCAUAAUCUCUAUAAACAAGAUGAAUUAUGGCUGGGGAUUCAGUUAGUAAAUCAACGAAAAUAAAUCCUGGUAAGUGCAUAAUUCAAAGAUAACCCAAAUAAGAACAGAAAGUUGUGUGUCAUAGUCACUGGCAUCUAUCCGGUGCUUCUGAACCAUGAACCACAUGACCUGAUUAAAGAGGUUGCUGUGAGUGUGUUGUACUCUUCGUGAACUAAAUUCCAUGAUGACAGAAAACAAACCUGAAAACAAGAGUUAUUUCACAACUCUAGAGCUCCACAGAGUCGGCUGCAAUUGGUUGAGUUGAGGUGAAUUUUCAGUGGACCUGGAUCAGUGUAGAAGGGCAGGAACAUUGGCCCAGCACAGCCCCAGGCUGUGCAGCAUUCAAUGUGACUUGGGACUGGCCUUCCUGGCUCUGCCUUGCCGGUGAAACAUGGAUUGGAAGCUUUGAAUGUUGGAAGAAAUAAACAAGUCUUGGUUGGAGUCCCAGUUUCAAUAACCACAUAUUUUCAAACCUAGACAAAUAUUCUGGUCUCAUCUCCUCAUUUGGAUUACUUCAAUCCUCGGAGAGAACGGAAUAGGACUCUGUAUUUCUUUGGAUGUUCAACACAGUGUUUAACUAAUGGGUGCUAUUUGAAAUAUUAUCGUCUAUUAUCAUUGCUAUUCUAAUAAGGAUGAUACUUGCUAUAAAUAUUAUUGAGAAAAAAAACUUGGAAGUGUUCUUGAGCAACAUAAACAGUACAAAAUGACAGAUAUUAAACACCGUUCUUUUUUGCACGUAAAACUAUACAAAUAAAAAUAUAGAAAAGCUUG